GCUACUUGUUAUCUCUGUCUCGACUGUUGACGUCAGCAGUCGAAUAUAAAACAGCAGGUAUAAAAGCACCACUUCAAUUCCUGGCUCCAGAAACCAGACACACCUUGAGCUCCACAAGGAUCAUACGCUCGCACCACAUUCUCUCAACGCGGAAACUGUAAAGAGGCAAUGCUGACCAGGAAGACAAGGGCAAUGCUGGUAGUGGCUGUGAUCAUGAUGAUCAUGGUGAUUGUGACGCUGCCCACGGCCACCGCUAUGGCACCGGAAGGUCCAGAAUAUCAACAAUACCAGGGGGCAGCAAGGAUUCGUAGAGACAUUGAACCUGUCAUCUGGAAUGGACAACCAUCUUACAACCCAUAUGUGGUUCGAUUUUGGGGAAAAUAGAAUAUCGUCCUUCCUCAGAAUGUGACACUUAUUGGUAGUUGUAAUCCUUAUGAAAAUAAUAAAGAAUGAAAAUAAAGCAACAUAUUUAAAUUACUAAAACUGACCCUGAAAGAUGACUUGGUAUCAUACAUCCUGGCGCUCACUUAUCAUUUUGUGCACACGAGGUAGCACUGCUGGAGUGUACGGUAAACCGGAUGUACUUGUUACAAAGAUAAUUGUCUGAUGGCGCACAGGAAUCCGGCCGUGUAAAAUCCUUUUUCAAGCCAUCAUAACUGCCACCGAGCGUUGCACUGACGGACGUUCGCAGCCAAAGGGUAACACACUAUGC
rnacentral:misc_RNA from 1 species